CCUACGGGAGGCAGCAGUGGGGAAUAUUGGGCAAUGGAGGAAACUCUGACCCAGCAACGCCGCGUGAAUGAUGGAGGUCUUCGGAUUGGAAAGUUCUUUUCUUAGGGAAGAAGAAAGUGACGGUACCUUAGGAAUAAGAAUCGGCGAACUACGUGCCAGCAGCCGCGGUAAUACGUAGGAGGCGAGCGUUAUCCGGAAUGACUGGGCGGAAAGGGUGCGUAGGUGGUUUGGCAAGUUAGUAGCGAAACUCCAAGGCUCAACCUUGGAACUACUACUAAAACUGUUGGACUUGAGUGCAGGAGGGGCAACCGGAAUUCCCAGUGUAGCGGUGGAAUGCGUAGAUAUUAGGAGGAACACCAGUGGCGAAGGCGGGUUGCUAGACUUUAACUGACACUGAGGCACGAAGGCGUGGGGAGCAAACGGGAUUAGAUACCCGAGUAGUC
rnacentral:rRNA from 1 species